rnacentral:rRNA from 1 species
UACAGAGGUGGCAAGCGUUGUUCGGAAUUACUGGGCGUAAAGGGCGCGUAGGCGGUUCGUUAAGUCCUGUGUGAAAUCCCCCGGCUCAACUGGGGAACUGCACAGGAAACUAGCGGGCUUGAGUUCGGGAGAGGGAUGUGGAAUUCCAGGUGUAGCGGUGAAAUGCGUAGAUAUCUGGAGGAACACCGGUGGCGAAGGCGGCAUCCUGGACCGGUAUUGACGCUGAGGCGCGAAAGCUAGGGGAGCAAACGGG